rnacentral:rRNA from 1 species
UACAGAGGGUGCGAGCGUUAAUCGGAAUUACUGGGCGUAAAGCGUGCGUAGACGGUUAUGUAAGUCGGAUGUGAAAGCCCCGGGCUUAACCUGGGAAUUGCAUUCGAGACUGCAUAGCUAGGAUGCGGAAGAGGGAAGUGGAAUUUCCGGUGUAGCGGUGAAAUGCGUAGAUAUCGGAAGGAACAUCAGUGGCGAAAGCGGCUUCCUGGCCUGUAACUGACGCUGAGACGCGAAAGCGUGGGGAGCGAACCGG